CCUACGGGAGGCAGCAGUGGGGAAUAUUGCGCAAUGGGCGAAAGCCUGACGCAGCGACGCAGCGUGAGGGACGAAGGCCUUCGGGUUGUAAACCUCUUUCAGCGGGGACGAAGCGAAAGUGACGGUACCCGCAGAAGAAGCACCGGCUAACUACGUGCCAGCAGCCGCGGUAAUACGUAGGGUGCAAGCAUUGUCCGGAUUUAUUGGGCGUAAAGAGCUCGUAGGCGGCUUGUCACGUCGGAUGUGAAACUCGGGCGUCAACCCCGACGCCUGCAUUCGAUACGGGCGUAGCUAGAGUGUUGCAGGGGAGGACUGGAAUUCCUGGUGUAGCGGUGAAAUGCGCAGAUAUCAGGAGGAACACCGGUGGCGAAGGCGGGUCUCUGGGCAACUACUGACGCUGAGGAGCGAAAGCGUGGGGAGCGAACAGGAUUAGAUACCCUGGUAGUCCACGCCGUAAACGGUGGGCGCUAGGUGUGGGGAACCUUCCACGUUCUCUGUGCCGUAGCUAACGCAUUAAGCGCCCCGCCUGGGGAGUACGGCCGCAAGGCUAAAACUCAAUGAAUUGACGGCUGAGACGNGCGACGACGACGACGAGGAGGAGG
rnacentral:rRNA from 1 species